UGAAAAAUUCUUUCUUAUAGAAAAUAUAUGUGUGCAUAUGCACGCCUUUUUCACAUUCUCUGGAGCUCGUUCUUAUUGGCAUCUUUGUUCUACUUCAAUUAGCCUACUUACUUUUGAAACCUUUUUGUAUGUUGCAUAAGUUGUUAUUAGCUGUUGAAGGCUUGAUCUUCUUUUCUGCACAUCCUCAAAACAGAAAAGUGAGAUAGAGAUUAUAGAUUUAAGUGAACCUGACAUUUGAUUACUAUUUGAAUGCAUACCGGUAAAAUCUCUGCAAAUUUUUACUCUAAAGAGAUGAAAUUUCUGGUGAAUAUUGAAUCUUAUAUGUCAGGCAGAAAAUAGAAUAAUAUCUGUAUCUUUCCAAAAAGAAGAAUCUUGAAGAAUAAUAUUCAAGGUAGUGCGGGUUGGGAUAUAUAGAGUGUCCUUUAACAAUGAGUUGUUAUGGAAUUGAACAUCUGUAGCUGAAGUUUAGAAUUGGUUCUAGAGUUGUUUCCUUCUAUAGUGCUGUUUUGGGUAUAAAGAGCCCAUGACUACCGACAAGAACAUGUGCUUCAUUUUUAAGCUUCAGAAGAUGCCUCAUCUCUUUUCAAAAUGCUUUUUGCUGCUGACAUGGGAGGACUAGCAUUCAAGAGAUUCAG
rnacentral:misc_RNA from 1 species